rnacentral:rRNA from 1 species
UAAGAGGUCCCGCCUGCCCUGUGACUACAUGUUUAACGGCCGCGGUAUUUUGACCGUGCAAAGGUAGCGCAAUCACUUGUCUUUUAAAUGGAGACCUGUAUGAAUGGCAUUACGAGGGCUUAACUGUCUCCCUUUUCAAGUCAAUGAAAUUGAUCUCCCCGUGCAGAAGCGGGGAUUCUCCCACAAGACGAGAAGACCCUAUGAAGCUUUAGACACUAAGGUAGUCUACGCCAAAAAACCUCCCUUAAGAGACCGAGCCUAAUAGCAUUCUACCCGACUGUCUUUGGUUGGGGCGACCACGGGGGAAAACCAAGCCCCCACGCAGAACGGGGCAAUUCCUGUCCUAAAGCCCAGAGCCCCCGCUCCAAGCAACAAAAUCUCUUUGACUUUCCAGAUCCGGCAUGGCCGAUCUACGGACCGAGUUACUCUAGGGAUAACAGCGCAAUCUCCUUUCAGAGCCCCUAUCGACAAGGAGGUUUACGACCUCGAUGUUGGAUCAGGACAUCCUAAUGGUGCAGCCGCUAUUAAGGGUUCGUUUGUUCAACGAUU